CACCACUCAAGCCUGGCUUGGUAUUGGGCGCCGCGGUCGAUUGAUCGCGCGCCUUAAAGUCUCCGGCUGAGCAGUCUGUCUCCGAGCGUUGUGACACAUGUCGCUAGGGAGUACAGGUCUGCCGCGGCCGUUAAAUCUUUUAACA
rnacentral:misc_RNA from 1 species